rnacentral:sRNA from 1 species
GUUCAUGCUUUGGUCCGACAACUCAAGGAUGCUGUAAUCUGCCUACACUCAGGUCUUGUGGCAGGAUAGCCUAGAGACAUAAUAGAUGAACACACUUUUAAGUAUUAGGGGGAUAACAAAACGAAUAACAAUCCCCUACUAAUCUUUAGGAGAGCAAGAGUUAAUAGGUAACAAAACGAAUAACAAUCCCCUACUAAACUUUAGGAGAGCAAGAGUUAAUAGGUAACAAAACGAAUAACAAUCCCCUACUAAACUUUAGGAGAGCAAGAGUUAAUAGGUAACAAAACGAAUAACAAUCCCCUACUAAACUUUAGGAGAGCAAGAGUUAAUAGGUAACAAAACGAAUAACAAUCCCCUACUAAACUUUAGGAGAGCAAGAGUUAAUGACAUUAGUUUGCAAUGAUUGGUUUUUUUUUACAUUUGUAAUGUUCUUUUCUCUUUUGAAUGACCGGUACUUUGAAGAAUGACCGGUACUUUGAAGAAUGACCGGUACUUUGAAGACUGACCUCUCUUGAUGCUUUCUCUUGACGUUUCAGUUUGUAUAGGGUAAACAAGAAAAACAUUUU